UGCCAGACUCCUACGGGAGGCAGCAGUGGGGAAUAUUGCACAAUGGGGGGAACCCUGAUGCAGCGACGCCGCGUGGGUGAAGGAGCACCUCGGUGCGUAAAGCCCUAUCGGCAGGGAAGAAACAGACGGUACCUGACUAAGAAGCCCCGGCUAACUACGGGCCAGCAGCCGCGGUAAUACGUAGGGGGCAAGCGUUAUCCGGAUUUACUGGGUGUAAAGGGAGCGUAGACGGCGAUGCAAGCCAGAUGUGAAAGCCCGGGGCUCAACCCCGGGACUGCAUUUGGAACUGUGUGGCUGGAGUGUCGGAGAGGCAGGCGGAAUUCCUAGUGUAGCGGUGAAAUGCGUAGAUAUCAGGAGGAACACCGGUGGCGAAGGCGGCCUGCUGGACUGCAACUGACGUUGAGGCCCGAAAGCGUGGGGAGCAAACAGGAUUAGAUACCCUAGUA
rnacentral:rRNA from 1 species